GGAGCAACAGCAUAUUUUUUUCUUCUAGAGGACUUUGUCAACUUGCGAAACUUACUUCAUCCUGCAGAGUUGUACAAAAGGCUGUGCUGAAGAUAAGGAAGGAUUUUAUAAAUGGUUUUUAACUGCACAUUUGGAUAGUAACUUGGAAAUUGUAUAUUCAGUGCUCACUCCAGUGGUCAUUUAUCAGAAAACUACCAUGACCCUGUGGGAAUUCAGCACAUUAUGGGGUAAUCCUGCAUAGAAAAGUCAAAGUGAUGAUGCAAGGAAUAAGUAAGUUCCAACAAGUCCCUAAAACCUCACACUUUUUUUCUGGCACAUAAGAAAAAAAGCCAUGUAAACAAUGAAUAUUGCAGUUGUUUGCCAUCGUCACUGCUUCUGUUCCAUUUCUGUGGAUGCAGCCUUAAAGCUGUAAUAAUUUGAUCAGCAACAUAAUACCUGCAAUACCUAUAUUAUUUGUAAGUAUACUGAAAGAGCGACAUUUGGAAGGUCAGAUGUAGCCAAGUGGAAGUAUUGCUGCGAGCCCAACCUUUUGCUGCUGCCAGGCUUGGUUCCUGCACUGAUCUUUCCACAUCUGGAUCAAAGAAACUAAGCAUGAACAUUUUUCUCCUUAGAGCAACGUCAUGCCAGAUCUUUGACACAAAGCCAGAAUGGUGUGUGUAUUCAGAAGCUCAUAAUGGCUACAAUCCACAGACACUGUAAAUGGGCUCCUAAUCUCACCUAACUUGCAGGUAUUUUCACAUUGCAGACACACCUGAACCAGUCAUCUAGGUCCUCAUUUUAGCCAGGGAAAAAAAAAAAAGAGCAUUUCUGUUGCACCUUUUUGUUUUAAUUAAUUGAGCUUUUAGUUCUCUCAUGCUACAAGACUCCAAAGGGAGUUUCUUUAUAGUCAUCCGAGACCAUGUGGGAUUGACUGGAGCCAGAGAGCCACAUGUAGACAGACUCAUCCUUUGACAUAGAAUUAUCCUGUCUAGGUGCAGAUAUCUGACAAAAGAACCUGAGUUCAGACUGCCCUUCUUCAGAAGCCAUCAAAGACUGACACCUUCCAAGAUCAAGACACUAUGCUGGACACAAGUACUCCUAUCAAUUACUCCCAGUCACCCCCUGACCUUCUCUGUUGAGAUUUGUAGACCAGAGGCAUAAGGCGGCCUCCCAUGAUGAAAAAUUUGGUCCUGUUACUGCUGCCAUACCUUCUCCUGUGUGCUCCUUCACCAAGCCCUGAGCCAUCGAGCUGCAUCUGCUGUCUCAAGCUGCCCAGCUUUCUGCACCUCCCACAGCAGCCUUCGGGUUCUGGGCAUCUCACCAGGGGCUCACCGGACCCAUGCAGCAGGAGGUAAAGGCAGCAGAGCACUCCAUCCAUCUCAGCACACCACUCAAGAGCGUGUUUCCUGAGUAAGACCAUCAGCACUUCAUUCGUCUGCUCAGACCAGCUGUACCUCUUGCCUGACCUGCAGAAGCCUCUGCCCAGCAGGUUCUGAUUUUAUUUACUUCAAUCUGACAGCUAUUCAGAGUAUCUGUCUCUCUUCACCAGCCAUUCGUGCAGCUCUGUAAACAAUUGCAGCAUAAAUAAGUAAUGGAUUGUUAUAGAGAAGACAGACUCUUUUUGGAGAUGCAUAGUAAUAAGGCAAAAGGCAAUGGACACCAAUUGCAACAAAGGAAAUUUCAACUAGAUUUAAGAAAAAAAGUCUGCAUGAUGUGAGGAGUCAAGCACAGGAUCAGGUAGCCUAGAAAGGAUGUAGAAUCUUAAUCCUUGGAGAUACUGAAAUACACAUUGGACAAGGCCCUAAACAACCUGCUCUAUUUUUGGAGAUAGUCCUGCUAAAGUUGGGUAUUGGACUAGAGACCUCCAGAGGUUCUGCUCUUCCUAAGUGAUUCUGUAAUGCCAGUAAAUCUGCAUCAAAUAAAUGCAUUUUUGCAAUUAA